rnacentral:rRNA from 1 species
GGCCUUUUGAUUAUAAUUUAAGGUCGAGCCUGCCCAAUGAUGAAAUUUAAUGGCCGCAGUAUACUGACUGUGCAAAGGUAGCAUAAUCAUUAGUUUUUUAAUUGAAAGCUUGUAUGAAAGGUUUGAUGAAAGAAAAGCUGUCUCUAUCUAAAAUUUUAGAAAUUUAUUUUUAAGUUAAAAAGCUUAAAUUAGUAUUGAAGACGAGAAGACCCUAUAGAGUUUUAUUUAUAUAAUAAUAGUUAGAGUUUAGUAUCUAAAAGUUUAUUUAUUAUUUUAUGAAUUUGGUUGGGGUGAUUGAAAAAUUUAUAAAACUUUUUUUGUAAUUUUACAUUUAUUUAUGAGUUUUUGAUCCUUUAAAAGAUUAUAAGAUAAAAUUACCUUAGGGAUAACAGCGUAAUUUUUUCUAGAGUUCUUAUCGAAAAAAAAGAUUGCGACCUCGAUGUUGGAUUAAAGUUUAAUUUUUGGUGUAGAAGCUAAAAAAUUAGGUCUGUUCGACCUUUAAAUUUUUACAUGAUCUGAGUUUAAACCGGUGUAAG